rnacentral:rRNA from 1 species
GGGACGUACGGAUUAUUGGGCGUAAGAGCUCGUAGGCGGUUUGUCGCGUCUGCCGUGAAAGUCCGGGGCUCAACUCCGGAUCUGCGGUGGGUACGGGCAGACUAGAGUGAUGUAGGGGAGACUGGAAUUCCUGGUGUAGCGGUGAAAUGCGCAGAUAUCAGGAGGAACACCGAUGGCGAAGGCAGGUCUCUGGGCAUUAACUGACGCUGAGGAGCGAAAGCAUGGGGAGCGAACAGGAUUAGAUACCCUGGUAGUCCAUGCCGUAAACGUUGGGCACUAGGUGUGGGGGACAUUCCACGUUUUCCGCGCCGUAGCUAACGCAUUAAGUGCCCCGCCUGGGGAGUACGGCCGCAAGGCUAAAACUCAAAGGAAUUGACGGGGGCCCGCACAAGCGGCGGAGCAUGCGGAUUAAUUCGAUGCAACGCGAAGAACCUUACCAAGGCUUGACAUGAACCGGUAAUACCUGGAAACAGGUGCCCCGCUUGCGGUCGGUUCACAGGUGGUGCAUGGUUGUCGUCAGCUCGUGUCGUGAGAUGUUGGGUUAAGUCCCGCAACGAGCGCAACCCUCGUUCCAUGUUGCCAGCGCGUAAUGGCGGGGACUCAUGGGAGACUGCCGGGGUCAACUCGGAGGAAGGUGGGGACGACGUCAAAUCAUCAUGCCCCUUAUGUCUUGGGCUUCACGCAUGCUACAAUGGCCGGUACAAAGGGUUGCGAUACUGUGAGGUGGAGCUAAUCCCAAAAAGCCGGUCUCAGUUCGGAUUGGGGUCUGCAACUCGACCCCAUGAAGUCGGAGUCGCUAGUAAUCGCAGAUCAGCAACGCUGCGGUGAAUACGUUCCCGGGCCUUGUACACACCGCCCGUCAAGUCACGAAAGUUGGUAACACCCGAAGCCGGUGGCCUAACCCCUUGUGGGAGGGAGCUGUCGAAUGUGGGACUGGCGAUUGGGACUAAGUCGUAACAAGGUAACC